rnacentral:lncRNA from 1 species
GUUUUAAAUAUUUAUUGGGGAAGCUUUUUAAUUGUGUUGUUAAAAUCUUCUAUAUUUUUACUAAAUAUUUUUUGUCUGAUGGCUUUAUUUCUUUUCUUUUCUUUCUUUUUUUUUUUUUUUUUUGAGACAGGGUGUUGCUCUGUCACCCAGGCUGGAGUGCAGUAGCACUAUCUUUACUCACUGCAACCUCUGCCUCCCAGGCUCAAUUGCUCAAUUGAUUCUCCCACCUCAUCCCCUCGUGUAGCUGGGACUACAGGCAUGUACACCCAGGUAAUUUUUUUUUUUUUUUUUUUUGCAGGGACAGGGUCUCACCACGUUUACCAUGUUGCCCAGGCUGGUUUCGAACUCAUGGGCUCAAGCAAUUCACAUGCCUUGGCCUCCCAAAGUGCUGGGAUUAUAGGCAUGAGCCACUGCGCCCAGUCUGAUGGCUUUAUUUUUGAUACAGGUAUAUUAAGUUAUCCACUAUGAUUGUGAAUUUGUCUGUAUCUUUUUAUAAUUGUUAGUUUUUCUUUAUAUGUAUUAAAGCCAUGUUGUUAAUGCAUACAAAUUCACAAUUGUUAUAUCUUCUAGGAAAAACUCCUCUCAUAAUGCAGUGUGCUUCUUUAUCACUAGUGAUGAUUUUGCUUUUAAUUCUACUUUAUAUGAUAUUAAUAUUGCUGCACCAAAUUCUCUAUUUGUUAGUAGUUGCCUGUUAUAUCUUUUUCAGUUGCUCCAGGUAUUUUUGCUUUCGGUAUGUCUUUGAUAAACAGCAUUUGUUUGUUUGUUUUAACCAAAUAUGAUCAUCUUCUUUAGAUAGCCUGAGGUUGACCCAUAUACAAUUAUUAUGAUAAUUGAUAUAGCUGGGUUAAUUUAUACACUUUUGUGCUGUGUUUUCAUUGUAUAAUCUUCCCGUCACCACCUCCCCCAACUUUGUUUUUGCUUCUUUUUUUCUCCCUUAUAUUCUUUCUCUAGGAUUGAUGAAAUUAUCUUUAUUCUUUUUAUUUCUCUUCUAAUGGUUUGGAAGCUAUAGAUUGCGUUUCUAUCAUCUUGGUGAUUACUUUCAACAUACAUAUAAAAUGUUAUAUUUCCUGACAAAGUCUAAAGAAAUUUAAUAUCCUCAUCUUUUUAAACAAAGUGAUGAUCUUAGUUGACAUUGGCCCAUUGAAUUCCACCUCUUCUAUCCUCCUUGUAUUUACUGUCUACAUUUUAUUCCCAACUCUUUUAAGCAAACAAAAAUGUUAAUCUUGAAUUGUCAGUAAUUAAUUUAACAACAUCUUUUUAUCUAUUACUUUGUUCAUUAAUGCUUCUUACAUCCCAUAUCAUUCCAGGUUUUCUUUUUUUUGAAAGAACUACUAAAGAACGUUCUGAGUUCUUUAGUAGUGCUUUCAAUAGAAGUUUGUGGGUGGGUUGAAUUUUGGAGGUGGGAGGAACAAUAUUGAGUCUCUCAAUCCAACUGUUAUUUCACUUAACAUCUUCUUAAUAUUUUUCCCUCUUUAUUUCUUUGUGCUUCUUUCUUGGUAAAUUCUUCAAUACUAUUUUCAAAUUCAGUAAUUCUCUUUGAUUUUUCCAGUCAGAUUUUAUCCCAUUUAUUGAGUUUUCGUCUCGAUUAUUACACACAUUUUUUAGUUUCACGUUUUUUUUUAGUAGAGACGGGGUUUCACCGUGUUAACCAGGAUGGUCUCGAUGUCCUGACCUCGUGAUCUGCCUGCCUUGGCCUCCCAAAGUGCUGGGAUUACAGGCAUGAGCCACCGUGCCCGGCCUAGUUUCAGGUUUUAAAAUUGGUUCUUUAUAUCCAUUUAUCUUUGAUUUCUACCCACUUUUAAAUUUCACAAAACAUUUUAUGGUUAUUAUUUUUUCUUUUAUUUCUGAAUAAGUUACACAUACUUAUUUUAAAUUCAUUUUGAGAAUGUUUAAUUUUUAUUUUUUCAAGAAUUAAUUCUCCACACUUUAUUGACUUGCUUUCUUAAAGUGGUUUUUCUUUAUGUGCUUUAUUAUUUCCCCUCUCUCAUCAUGCACUCUUUUCUCGUGGUUUUGCAGCACCUCCACCCAACUCUUGGCACUCCGAUGAUAGAACAGGCCUUAUGUCAACAGCCAAGGGCUUCCAUUCUUGGGGCAAUUUCACACAUUUAGCUAUUGAAUCAGCAGGUGCCCUGACAUAGGUUCUGUCUCCACGGCCUUCUCUGCUCCUUCUGGCCACACUGGCUACACAGCUACUUAGCUUUUCUUGCAUUAACUCUUUUAAACAAACAAACAAAAAGCUUUCUUUUAAUUGCCAGUAUUAAAUUAGAUAUAUACAAGCUAUAGCCCAGUCAUGUCUUCUUCUCAGUUUCUUUUCAUGGUAAGAAACCCCACCUCUUUGCUGCUGUCACUCUUACUAUCCAGUAGGGCUCAAUGUGCUGUAGGUCCUUUCUACCCCACAGAAAUCCAAGUUCUGGCCAACUCUGAGCAUUUCUAGAUUCAAAAUCCAGUGGGUUGGUGGCCUCAGCCUGCACUUAUGGCUAGAAGCUUCUAUUUUGACCUUUGUCUACAUAGAUGUUUGUUUUUGAGCAUGGCUAUCUUUGGAGUAUGUGCAUGUGUGUGUGCGCAUGCAUGUGCGCUGUAUUUGGAGCAAUUUAAAACUUGAACUCAUAUUACCAUCUUGAAAAGAAGCAAAGAGCAGAGUCUCUCAAUUAAAGUGGCUUCAUUCUGUUUUGACAUUUAUAAAAGUCUUAGGUAUCUCGUUUUUGUACAUAAAUCCUUUUAUACUAUUUGCAAUUUCAAAAUACUAUAAAUGAAAUUAUGACUGCCUUGACAGGGAGGUUAAAUUCUUUCCACAGACUUUUAAAAAAUUGCACAUGCUACCCCCACCCCUACUCUUCCCAAUUCCUAGGUAUCCUACUUUCCCAGGUUCAAAACCACUGUCCUAAGAGGAAAUGUGCUGCUCUAAUCAGAUCAGCUUGAGAAAACUCACUCAGAGAGUAGGAGAGCUAACAAUCAGGGAACCUGUGUGACUAGAGGAAGACAGGGAUGCCUGGAGAAAACAACCUGACCUGCCCGCACAGAGGGACCCUUGUUCCAGAAACCAGGAGAGGCAGCUGAUGGGCCCACACAGUCAGCACUUACUCUGGUCAAUUUGUUCUCAAAUUCUAACCAUGGGAAUAAACACUACUUUCGGUGAAAACAUUCCUUGUAUUUCACAAACAACUUCCUGACAACAUUUACAGAAAUCAAAAUAAAAGAACAUCAAAACUCAUUUAUUUACCCAGUAGGUAAAUAGAUGAAGAAUAAGAACAGGUGGUUCUCAUAAGAGGAAAUAAAAAGUGAUCUAACAUACACACCUGUUAUCCUUUAUUGUAAUCAAAUAAAUAAAAAUUAAUGAAACAUUUUAUAUCUAGGAAGAAUUUUUUAAAAUAAUACUCAAGUAUAAGGUUGCUAUUAAACUAGUAUAUUCAUACUUACUGCUACAUUGGAAAUUGGCACAACUGUUUGGAAAAAUAACAUAGCAAUAUGUAUUGGGAGCUAUAAAAAUGGUUUUUAUCUUUUAGCCAGUAAUCCAAACUCCUAGGAAUUUAUCUUAAGAAAACAUCAAAAGGAAAAAGUGUUCACACAGCAUUAUUUACAAAAGUGUAACUAAAUGUUGAAGUGGACAAACAGGCAGUAAGUUUCCCCCAACAGUUUUAACAGCUUUAUUAAAGCAUAAUUGAUGGGCAAUAAGGUACACAUAAAGUGUUUAAUUUGUUAAGUUUUGACCUAUGUGUACAUCCAAGAAACCGUCACCACAAUCAAAUGAACAUAAUCAUCCUCCAACAUUUUUAAUUGAGCAGAAAACAGUUAGGGCCAGAUACUUGCUAAAUGAGGCUACCCCAGCCAUCACCCACACCCACUCCCAGGCACCAGCAGACCACCCAGGGACAGGAAUUGGAAUCAUUGGGAGUACAGUGUUCCUGCUGAGGAGGUUUGCCCUCCCCUCUUUCUUAUGGUGUUCAAGAAACUGGGACUCCAAAAAAUAGAGACUAAAGGUGACUUUUAGGCAAGAGGAGCCCAGCAGCCACCAGCUGACUGGGUAGGUACCAGGCUUCAGUCUCUGCAGGCCCACUUUGAAGAUGGCUACCUGGCUGAAGAUUUCUGAGGGUGGGAAUUUGCCAGGGCAGCUCACACCAGCAGCAAGAAGGGAUCAUGGUGUAGCUGUUCUUGAGUAAAAGAUGGCACUCCACCCUCCAGUCCCCUGUGGCCCUUGCAGGGUAUGGAGGAGAAACCAGUAGCUUUCCUGGCUCACAUGAGGGAGCUGAGGAGUAAAGAGGGAGGCAGAAACUACGGUGCCCUGGCCAAGGGAAGUAAUGUCCUACCGAGAUAGGGGGUUGAGGGUGUGCGUCAACGGCAUGGCUUAAAAGGGAUGCCGCUGUUACUUUCUGAGAGGGUCCUCAGUGACAAAGGGACCAGAAACACAUGCCCAGAAAAUCACAUGAGACAAAGACAAUGUCAGCAGAACACACCAACAGCCAACCAGAGUGACCAGUAGAAAGCUCAGGGCCACUGCCCACCACUGACGGGUGACAGUAGGUAGCUCAACCUUCCCCAUUCCUUUAUUUCUUUAUUUUUUUAUUUUAAGACACAGAGUCUUGCCCAGGCUGGAGCACAGUGGUGUGAUCAUAGUCCACUGCAGCCUCAAACUCCUGGGCUCAAGUGAUCCUUCCACCUCGGCCUUCUAAGUGGCUGGGACUACAGGUGUGUGCCACCAUAUCUGGCUAAUUUUUAUUUUUUUAUUUUUUAGAGAUAGGGGUCUCACUAUGUUGCCCAGGCUGGUCUAUAAUCUCUGCUCUCAAGCAGUCCUUCUGCCUUGGCUUCCUAAAGCAUUGGGAUUACAGGCAUGAACCACCGAACCCGACAGCUUCCCUUUUUACUCCAAUUUCUCCUCCUCCCCACCCAACCCUCUGGUGAUAGAGGAGUAAAAGCCAAAACAUAUUCCCUCCCAACUACAGGUUUCAAAGACCAUGAUACAGCCAGAGAGAGAAGGGAAAAGAGAAAAUGAGAUUAGAUUUUAAACUGGACCAGAUAGAACUUUUAAUAAUGAGAUAUGACUUUAAAGCUAUGGGAUCAGCCCAAGAUGUCACUGAAGGACAGGCAAGGGAGGUGGUAGUUGGAAGAAAAUAGAUUGCUUAUGCCUGUACUUCACUGAGUUUAGGAAAUUCACUAUACCAGAGAUAAUCACAAAAUUAAAAGGAAAGUGUAGCAUAUCAACUCAAUCCAUUACACAACAUGUAAAAAUAUAAUUAUUAAGCACUAUGCAGAAAAAUGGAGUGUGUUUACACACUAUCAUCCUAAAUAAUAACGAUUACUUCAAAACAGAUAAAAAUGCAUAACAAUGCACAACUAUUAAAACAGGUAUGUAUGGACAAAAUCUUAGAGUAAGAAAAAUAAAAGUCAUUUUGUUAAUGUGGUAUGAUUAUUGUUUUUAAAUUACUUUUAAGUUUUCACAUUUCUUUUAUAAUAUAGAAAAGUGGAAAAAUCUAAAACCCUCCUGUCUUACUAUUAAGAAAAGUAUUUGUAUUUCCCAUGUUCUUUUCUUUUUUUGUUUGUUUUGAUCCAGUACUAUUUAUGGAAACAUCGCCCUUUCCCCACUGCACUGUAAACUUUAUCAUAAAUUAAGUGACUGUGUAAGUGCUGGGUUUGUUUCUGGACUUGCCAACAGAUUCCACUGGACAAUUUCUCAUUUCUUGUGAGAAUAGCAAGCUGUUUUAAAUUAUUAUAUCCGGCCGGGCACGGUGGCUCACGCCUGUAAUCCCAGCACUUUGGGAGGCCAAGGCGGGUGGAUCACGAGUUCAGGAGAUCGAGACCAUCCUGGCUAACACAGUGAAACCCCGUCUCUAUUAAAAAAUCCAAAAAAAAUUAUUAUAUCCUUAUAAUAAUUCUUGACAUUAGGGGCUUAAGCUUUAUUGUGAUUAUUUCUUUUCUUCCUCUUCUUUCUCCUCCUUUUCCUUCUUCUUCAGCUCCCAAAUCUGUUUUGUUAUUUAGAUUUGAUAUCAUUUCUAGAAUCAGCUUGUGAAUUGCAACAAACAACUACUAUUAUUUUGUUUGGAGUUCCAUGAAUCUAUACAUCAAUUUGGAGAGAAUUGACAUCUUUCCAAUACCAAGUCUUCUAAUAUAUGAUUUCCCUUGUUCUUUUCUCUUUGAUGCCCUGACAAAUAAUUUUGAGCACUUAUCUGCCAAGUUGAGGCUGUGCCAGAUGUUGUGGACACAGCCCAGAGCAGAGCUGGUGGCCUCACUGCCCUAACAUGUACAAACCUGCAGGGAUGCAAGGUGCCCAGACUGUGCAAAGCAAUGGCAGCUGCAUGGAGUCCAGAGAGAGCACCUGGAGGCCUGGAAGGCUUCCAAAAGAAAGUGGAGUUUGCACUCCUCUGAGAUACAAGACAAGUAUUUGGAAGAUGCAGGAUUUUACUGAAGUUCUCAUGGAAGGCUUUGGGCCCACUGAUCCCAUCCAUGGGCAUUUUGUCCCCUCCACAAUCCAGCUGAGGGCUGGACUUCCCUGGGACCAUUCUCAGGGGUCACAGGCAUAACCUGUCCAUGCAUUAAAGGUUGGCGCAGAAACUUGGGGCACCUCCAGCCAUUAAUUCAGAUUCAUCUGUUUCAACGUAUUCCCAUCCACCCACAGACUACUGGGGGCCACCCAGAGGCCUGAGUUUCCACCAGUUUCUCACAUGAGAGAAAGCUGAAGGAAAAGGUAUGAAGGCGGAUUUCACUGUUGACAGGUUGUCUUUCAAGUGUGGGUCCUGGCGUUUAUGAGGCAAUGAUGAGACACCUAGAAAGAAGCACAUCUCUGAGACAUGACAGUUCAGUCCCAAAGGCCAUUAAUAGAGGGCCAGCUCAUCAACACAGCUGCAGAAACAGAGCACAGCCAGCCUCGCAGCCCCACACGCUGAAGCCCCCGCUGCAGCAUUCCAUCUACUCUAGCGCCCAUGCAAAUUGAAAACCUAAAAUAGUUCACUCCCCAUAGCCACUGGCUUUGAAGAAUCUCUUUUGUCUCCAUGAAAUAGCUCCAGGAGACAGAACCCAGAGAAAAACUUUUUGAAGUGAACUUUUUCCUUAUAAUUUUAUUUAAAUUUGAAUAUUUUUGUAGAAAUAAUAAAGUUAUCCACUAAUUAUCUGUGUGACACACAUGGGCCACCAUGCCCGGCCAACAGUAUAUUUUAAACAGUACUGUCUGACGCUUGCUUUACUUACAGCACAUCUAUUUCUAAAUCUAGAUAUCCUGUACAUUUAAAAAAUUAUGACGUACUCAUAUAAUUUGAUAUCCUCCACUUUAAGAUAAACCCACAUGUAAGAAUGUGCAGAGAUCCUAUACAAGUUUGUGUCAAUGAGUACACAUUUAGUGGAAUAUUCCACUAAAUUCUAAGGUCCAACAGCAUCAGCAUCACCUGGUAAUUUGUUAAAAGUGCAGGACCUGAGGCCCACCCAGACCUACUGAACUGGAAUCUUCAUUUUAACAAGAUCCCCAAGUGACCGAUUUGCACAGUAAGGUAUGAAAAGCCCAGAUCUGCAACAUCGUUUUUAAUUGUUGACAAUUACACCACUGUAUGAUUGGGCCAUGAGGCUAGAGUUUAGUCAUUUGAUUCUAACUAGUGUUAGGAGAAUUUAUCCAUCUAGAUGGCCAGGAGCCAUUUACUAGGAAACCUUGUUACAGUCAAUCUCAUUGGCCUUGGGUGAUAGAGACAAUUCCUGCUGGGCUGAGGUUGUAGGAAAACUGAAGUCUGGGUGUAAGGCUAUACUGGAGAGGCAUCUCACAAAUAACUGUUCUCAGAAUGGUUUUAAAAAAAAUGUUUACUAUGUUGUGAUAACAGAUACUUCCAAACAAAAGGAACAGGAAGUUGUUGUCUUGUCUGUCUGCCGUUCAAGAGGACUGAAUACGUUCCAUUAAAUUCGCCUGCAAACUUUUCCUGAAGAGCCCAGCAAGCAGCGAUGAAAAUUACAGAGUGGCUCCCAGGCACUUUAGUGGGUAAUCAGCUGAAAUUGAGCUGUUUUCCAUAUUCUUUGCUGAUAAUGCAAAAGGAACCUUUAAAACAAACAGCUCCAAGUCACCACACAUCCUACAAGCUGAAAGGGCCCAUGUGGUCCACACAGAUGCUCCAGCCACACACCAAGCCCUGCUGCAGAGUAAUUGGUUCCCACAGCUAUCAGAGGUGAGAGCCAGCCGACUGCCUGUGCCUUCACAAAUGGCCAGGCUGAGCUAGACGGUUUAUGGGUCCAGGGCCAAUCAUCGGGAUAAAUUAGCUGUCAGGAAGUAAAAGCAGCUCUAGGGAAAUGGCUAGGUCUGUCUAAAAUCUCUGAUUUUCUUCACACUAGGCGCAGUUUAUCCUUGAAUGGUGCUUGCUCAUGCUGUCCAGGAGACAAGGACUCUGGGUUAAAGUAUAGGAUUCAGGACUCUAGGUCUAAAUAGACCCAGGUGUUAAAUGCCCAAGAUUAUCGACCAAAGUAGAAAAAAGAUGUAGGGAUUAGAGAUUCAGGAAAAGCUAUUUCCUCUAAGAUUUUCAUGGUUCUGAAUGGAGCAUCUGGGGAGAAAAUUCAUUUGGGGGUUGGGUUGCUAAGAGGCCAAGAGAAGGGAAAAUGGAAAGGACGCUAGCGUGACACAUGGUGGGACAUGCAGGGAGGGGCAAUGGACCCAGGCUUGAUUCAGAUGCCAACUUGCCAUGCCCUGGCUAUGUGUAAGCCAAAAAUGUAUCUGAGACAGGCCUCAAUCAAUUUAUUUUGCAAGGUUAAGGAUCAUGACCCACGGCCUUAGGAGGGCCUGAGAACAUGUGCCCAAAGUGGCUGGGUUACAGCUUGGUUUUGUAUUUUUAGGGAGAUAUAAGACAUCAAUCAAUAUGUGCGAGGUAUACAUUGGAUUGGUCUGGAAAAGUGGGACAACUUGAAGCACGGGCUUACAGGUCAUAGGUGAAUUCAAAGGUUUUCUGAUUGGCAAGUGGCUGAAAAGAGUUAAGUUACUAUCUAAAAGCCUGGAAUCAAUAGAAAGGAGUGUCUGGGUUAAGAUAAGGGGUUGUGGAGAUCAAAGUUCUUAUUAUGUAGAUAAGUCUCACAGAAGGCUGCCCUUAGAAGCAAUAGAUGGCAAAUGUUUCCUAUUCAGACCUUUCAAAGGUCCUAGACUCAGCCAGGCGCAGUGGCUCACGCCUGUAAUCCCUGCACUUUGGGAGACCGAGGUGGGCGGAUCACCUGAGGUCGGGCGUUCGAGACCAGCCUGACCAACAUAGAGAAACCCCUUCUCUACUAAAAAUACAAAAUUAGCCGGGUGUGGUGGCGCAUGCCUGUAAUCCCAACUAGGCAGAGGUUGCAGUGAGCCAAGAUCGCGCCAUUGCACUCCAGCCUGGGCAACAAGAGCGAAACUCUGUCUCAAAAAAAAAAAAAAUAUGCUAGACUCUCAGCUAAUCUCUUCAGGAUCAGAAAAGGACCUUGAAAGAAUGUAAAUUCCCACACCCCCUUCCCACAAGAGACAGCUUUGCAGGGCCAUUUCAAAAUAUGUCAGUAAGAUAUAUUUUGGGGUAAAAUAUUUCCAUUUCCUUCAGGGCCUGCUAUCUGUCAUCUGAUGUUAUACCUGACUCAGGUUGAAAUUGUUACUGUAUUGCUACAAAGAGUCUGUUUUGUCAGUUUUAAGAUCUCUGUUUGAAUGUUAAUGCUGGUUUGUUGCAUCUAAACUCCAAAAGGGAGCGAGUAGAAUGAAGCACGUCUGACCCCUACUUUCCAUAUAGCCUGGACUAGUUUUUUAGGUUUCUUUGGAAUCCCGUUGUCUGAGAAGGGGGCCCAUUCAAUUACUUAGGGGGCUAGGAAUUUUCUUUGUGGUUGACGUUCAUAACCUUAAUGGCGGCUUAAACUCUCUGACCCUUACUUUCUAUGAAAUAAUGUAAAAUCUCACAGGUAAGAUACUGUAGAUGAAGUCACCUAGGACAUAGUAGUUAUUUGAUAAAUUUUCUUUUCCUUCUUUCAUCCCCUGAAAAUGAACCAAACCUCACACCCUUUCCUCUCUUUACUCACAACCCAAACAUAAGAAAUGAAUGUGAAGGUUCAUAAAGAGCACAUAUCACUUUUAGAAAAGAUAAACUCAAUAUUUUUAGUACCACUUAUAAACAAUAAAUUUUUAUUCAAAAUAUUUACUUGCUAUAUAAACAGCUACCAGUUUAAUUUCAAUGGGAAAACCUAUUCUUAGCAUAUGUUUGAUGAGCAAAAUGUGGACAGAAAAAAAAAGUCCUACUGACUAAGUCCUGGAGAAGAUGAACACUCUUGUAUACGUUCAACAAUGGGUGUGUAAGUUAAUUGUAGAGAGCUCUUUUUUAGGGAGCAUUGUAAAUUACCUUGGAUCUGAAAAUUUCACUUCUGGAAACGUAAAUCGUAAUCAUAAAUAUCCACAAGGAUGUAGUUUCCAUAUUAUACAUUAUAUAAGCAAUAUGAAAAUGCUUAUAAAAACUAUUAUGUUUAUAUAAUUAUACAAUACAUGAAUAUAUGUCAUUGUAAAAAAAUUUACGUAACAUGGAAAUAUUACAUAAAAUAUGAAAGUUGCUUUUUACUCUCAUUUUCCUCACCCCACUUUCUCUAAAAGUAACCUCUAAUAAAGUCUGUUUAUACUUACGGAUAUUUUACUAAGCAUUUAAGACAUAUAUGUAUGUAUGUGUUACAUUCUCUGUAAUCCCAAUGCCAUUUAUUAUGUAGUUUACCUUCUGCUCAUGGAUUUGAAGUGCCAUUCAAAAAACAAACAAUUGUUAAUUGAUACAAUGUAUGUUA